UGAGCCACCUCGCCCGUCCUAGUUUUUGUUUUGUUUUGUUUUGUUUUUUUAAAGCUUCCAGGGAUAUUCUGUGUGCCGUCAGAGUUGAGAACUACCGUUCUAGAGCAUUAUACUGAUACAUUAAAACGUGGCUACAAAUACGGUUUUAGAAACAAUUAGUGCGACUUUUGCGCAUGCCCACAUCCUUUACAGCCUGUGUGGCUGGGCCCACUGAUGUCAUUUAUCCAGUCCCUCAAACUUGCACUGUCCUUCCACAAUCAGUGGGAGAAACAACCCUAACGUCCCUUUCUCUCCCUUGAAAUGAACUGCUAGCUGGCUCGGAGGGUGAGGCCCAGAGUCCAGGUCUGCGGUCUGUGUGAGGCUCUAGGCUCUAAGGAGGCGCCCAGGUCCCUAGAAGGCGGCGCCGGGUGAGGCAAUCCUGGACGCGGGUCAGGACCUGCCCGCAGCUACGCUGGGACGAGGAACCCAGAGCCAGUCCCGCGGCGCCGCAAGCGGCCGGGCGCUAAGGACUACGUUUCCCACAAUGCACUCCGGGGGCGGGCCGGGUCGGGCUGUGCGGCUGGAGCUGGGCCUUGGCUGCGAGAGGCCGGAGAAAGCUGUGUUCCUGCACUGGCGGCCGGGUGAGGGCGGUGGGAGGGCGCGGUGCCUGCGCUGUGGCCAUGUCUGUGUACGCAGGGGGCCGGGGCCCCGCGAAGCUGUGCCCUCAGGCCGGGCCCAGCCGGACACCCUUACCCCCCCAGGGCUCUGGCAGAGGGCAGUGACCGGCACCUUCUGUGCGUCUUGGGCCCCUCUGAGAAACAGGAGAACCCAAAGGAUGGCUGCUGACAUGCAAAGGAAGAGAAGCAGCGAAUGCCCUGAUGGCACAUUGACUCCUUCUGAUGGACACAGUGUGGAGAGAGCUGAGAGUCCCACACCAGGACUGGCCCAGGGAAUGGAGCCAGGUGCUGGGCAGGAGGGUGCCAUGUUCGUCCAUGCCCGUUCCUACGAGGACCUGACUGAGUCAGAGGAUGGGGCAGCUUCUGGGGACAGCCCCAAGGAGGGUGCCAGGGGUCCCCCGCCGCUGCCUGCAGACAUGCGUCAGAUCAGCCAGGACUUUAGCGAGCUAAGCACCCAGCUGACGGGUGUGGCCCGGGACCUGCAGGAGGAGAUGCUGCCAGGAAGCUCUGAGGAUUGGCUGGACCCCCCAGGGGCAGUUGGCCGACCAGCCACAGAGCCCCCCAGGGAGGGCACAGCCGAGGGGGAUGAGGAGGAUGCCACGGAGGCAUGGCGCCUGCACCAGAAGCAUGUCUUUGUGCUGAGUGAGGCAGGGAAGCCUGUGUACUCCCGCUAUGGGUCUGAGGAGGCACUUUCCAGCACUAUGGGUGUUAUGGUGGCCCUGGUGUCCUUCCUGGAGGCAGACAAGAACGCCAUCCGCUCCAUCCAUGCAGAUGGCUACAAGGUAGUAUUCGUGCGCCGGAGCCCGCUGGUGCUAGUGGCAGUGGCUCGCACACGGCAGUCGGCACAAGAGCUGGCGCAGGAGCUGCUCUACAUCUACUAUCAGAUCCUGAGCCUUCUUACCGGUGCGCAGCUGAGCCACAUCUUCCAGCAGAAGCAGAACUAUGACCUACGGCGCCUGCUCUCGGGCUCAGAACGCAUCACCGACAACCUGCUGCAGCUCAUGGCACGAGACCCCAGCUUCCUGAUGGGGGCGGCACGGUGCCUGCCCCUCGCAGCAGCCGUGCGCGAUACUGUGAGUGCCAGCCUGCAGCAGGCACGGGCGCGCAGCCUGGUCUUCUCCAUCCUGCUGGCCCGCAACCAGCUCGUAGCACUUGUGCGCCGAAAGGACCAAUUUUUGCACCCCAUCGACCUGCACCUGCUUUUCAACCUCAUUAGUUCCUCCUCGUCCUUCCGCGAGGGCGAGGCCUGGACGCCCGUGUGCCUGCCCAAAUUCAACGCAGCCGGCUUCUUCCACGCACAUAUCUCUUACCUAGAGCCUGACACCGACCUCUGCCUGCUGUUUGUCUCCACUGACCGUGAGGACUUCUUUGCAGUCUCUGACUGCCGCCGCCGCUUCCAGGAGCGCCUUCGCAAGCGUGGAGCCCACCUGGCCCUGCGAGAGGCGCUGCGCACACCCCACUACAGCGUUGCCCAAGUGGGCAUCCCUGACCUGCGUCACUUCCUCUAUAAGUCAAAGAGCUCGGGACUCUUCACCAGCCCUGAGAUUGAGGCCCCGUACACCAGUGAAGAGGAGCAGGAGCGGCUGCUGGGCCUCUACCAGUACCUGCACAGCCGUGCCCACAAUGCCUCUCGCCCACUCAAGACCAUUUACUACACGGGCCCCAACGAGAACCUCCUGGCCUGGGUGACAGGCGCCUUUGAGCUCUACAUGUGUUACAGCCCCCUGGGGACCAAGGCAUCAGCUGUCAGUGCCAUCCAUAAGCUGAUGCGCUGGAUCCGCAAAGAGGAAGACCGCCUCUUCAUUCUCACGCCCCUCACCUAUUGAUGGGAAUGUGUGCAGGCUCGGCCUUCCCAGGCACACUGGGUGUGGGAAGCCGUAGGAGCCUCCAGAUGGGGGCUGGCCUCUCUUGCCCAGCCAGCAGGCAGGGACUGUGGGUUGGCCGCACCAUGCGCAUCCACCCACAGGCCGCUGAGAAAAAGGCGCCAAGACGCCAAGAGAAGGUACAGGAGCCAGGCUUCCAA